UUGAACGCUGGCGGCAGGCCUAACACAUGCAAGUCGAACGGUAACAGAAAGCAGCUUGCUGCUUUGCUGACGAGUGGCGGACGGGUGAGUAAUGUCUGGGAAACUGCCCGAUGGAGGGGGAUAACUACUGGAAACGGUAGCUAAUACCGCAUAACGUCGCAAGACCAAAGAGGGGGACCUUCGGGCCUCUUGCCAUCGGAUGUGCCCAGAUGGGAUUAGCUAGUAGGUGGGGUAACGGCUCACCUAGGCGACGAUCCCUAGCUGGUCUGAGAGGAUGACCAGCCACACUGGAACUGAGACACGGUCCAGACUCCUACGGGAGGCAGCAGUGGGGAAUAUUGCACAAUGGGCGCAAGCCUGAUGCAGCCAUGCCGCGUGUAUGAAGAAGGCCUUCGGGUUGUAAAGUACUUUCAGCGGGGAGGAAGGGAGUAAAGUUAAUACCUUUGCUCAUUGACGUUACCCGCAGAAGAAGCACCGGCUAACUCCGUGCCAGCAGCCGCGGUAAUACGGAGGGUGCAAGCGUUAAUCGGAAUUACUGGGCGUAAAGCGCACGCAGGCGGUUUGUUAAGUCAGAUGUGAAAUCCCCGGGCUCAACCUGGGAACUGCAUCUGAUACUGGCAAGCUUGAGUCUCGUAGAGGGGGGUAGAAUUCCAGGUGUAGCGGUGAAAUGCGUAGAGAUGUGGAGGAACACCAGUGGCGAAGGCGACUCUCUGGUCUGUAACUGACGCUGAGGAGCGAAAGCGUGGGGAGCGAACAGGAUUAGAUACCCUGGUAGUCCACGCCGUAAACGAUGAGUGCUAGGUGUCGGAGGGGAACCUUCGGUGCCGCAGCAAACGCAAUAAGCACUCCACCUGGGGAGUACGAUCGCAAGAUUGAAACUCAAAGGAAUUGACGGGGGCCCGCACAAGCGGUGGAGCAUGUGGUUUAAUUCGAUGCAACGCGAAGAACCUUACCUGGUCUUGACAUCCACGGAAGUUUUCAGAGAUGAGAAUGUGCCUUCGGGAACCGUGAGACAGGUGCUGCAUGGCUGUCGUCAGCUCGUGUUGUGAAAUGUUGGGUUAAGUCCCGCAACGAGCGCAACCCUUAUCCUUUGUUGCCAGCGGUCCGGCCGGGAACUCAAAGGAGACUGCCAGUGAUAAACUGGAGGAAGGUGGGGAUGACGUCAAGUCAUCAUGGCCCUUACGACCAGGGCUACACACGUGCUACAAUGGCGCAUACAAAGAGAAGCGACCUCGCGAGAGCAAGCGGACCUCAUAAAGUGCGUCGUAGUCCGGAUUGGAGUCUGCAACUCGACUCCAUGAAGUCGGAAUCGCUAGUAAUCGUGGAUCAGAAUGCCACGGUGAAUACGUUCCCGGGCCUUGUACACACCGCCCGUCACACCAUGGGAGUGGGUUGCAAAAGAAGUAGGUAGCUUAACCUUCGGGAGGGCGCUUACCACUUUGUGAUUCAUGACUGGGGUG
rnacentral:rRNA from 1 species